ACAGUGCACGCCUCCCUUCCUCUCCCCUACCGAUGCCUCCCAGCUCCCUCUCAACCGCCGCCGCCUCCCUUCCGGUCACCUCCACUUCGUUCCUCUCCUUUUUCCCCGUCCACCCUCUCUCACUCUCCCCUCUCCCCACAUAGCAGUGGUGUGGGCCGCGUGCGGCCAUGGUGUCGAGCUAUGGAUCGGAGCCGCGUGCAACCAUAACGGGUCCCGGUGCGUAGCGGAGACAUGCACGGCGCGGACUGGGCACGCGACGGCGUCGCGGAGCGGGGCACUCGGAGGAGCAACUCGCAGUUAAUCAUGCGUUGGAGGGAGGGAUCGUCGGUGGUGCGGCCGCCGCUCAGUCGCUUGGGGCGAGAGGGUGGCAGGCAGUGUGCGUGGCACUGGCGCACUGCCGAAACACUAAAGUGAAGCUGGAGGGUGGUCAUUGGUGAACCGACCGAGUCCGUGUGCUAAUUAAUAACAGCGGGUGAAACGAGAUAAAGUGCAUGUGGAAAGAAUGGGGGAGGGAGAGUACCGCCAUGAGCUUUAUU